rnacentral:snRNA from 1 species
GAGUGAGAGCACUGGUCUCAUAAAAUUGGAAUGACCGAGAUUAGCAUGGCCCCUGCUCAAGGAUGACACCCAAUUUUAUCUCUACCUCACAUGGUA